CCCACGGCUCACGCCGUGGGCUAUUCUCAUUCGCCCCGUUCGGGGCU
rnacentral:sRNA from 1 species